GUACACGCUGUGACUAGCAUAUCAAUAAGCGGAGGAAAAGAAACUAACAAGGAUUCCCUCAGUAACGGCGAGUGAAGCGGGAAGAGCUCAAAUUUGAAAUCUUGAAAGGUCACCUUUCACGAAUUGUAGUUUAAAGAAGUGUUUUCUGUUACGAUCGUAAUAUAAGUUCUUUGGAAUAGGACAUCACAGGAGGGUGAGAAUCCCGUCUAUGAUUGCGAUUUGUAGCUUUGUGAUACACUUUCAAAGAGUCGGGUUGUUUGGGAAUGCAGCCCAAAACGGGAGGUAAAUCUCUUCUAAGGCUAAAUAUUGGCGAGAGACCGAUAGCGAACAAGUACCGUGAGGGAAAGAUGAAAAGAACUUUGAAAAGAGAGUUAAAUAGUACGUGAAAUUGUCAAAAGGGAAGCGUUUAACAGCCAGUGUUGUUUUCUGAAAAUCAACCUCUGUUAGCUUUAUGCAUGUUUGUUUAGACCUAAUCAGCUAUCUUGCAUGUUCUAUUGUUUGCAGUGGUGCACUUUUCAGUUUACAGGUCAACAUCAGUUUUUUUUACCGUAAAAAAGUUAAAGAAAGGUAGCUCAUGGCUCCGGUCGUGAGUGUUAUAGUCUUUUUCCUAUGCGGUAGGAGAGACUGAGGUCUGCAGUGUAGGCUAUUUGGCUAGAUACUCAGGUGCUAUGUGAUACCAUUUCAUAAACAACUUGUUGAUUAUGUUUUGUCUAUUGCAUACUCGCUUGUACUAUCAUACCUACGCUUAGGAUGUUGAGUAGCGACAUACGCAC
rnacentral:rRNA from 1 species